rnacentral:guide_RNA from 1 species
AACAACGCGAUAUCCAAGUAAGAUUGUGUAAGUGAAAUAUAGUU